CGUAGGGUGCAAGCGUUAAUCGGAAUUACUGGGCGUAAAGCGUGCGCAGGCGGUUCUAUAAGACAGAUGUGAAAUCCCCGGGCUCAACCUGGGAACUGCAUUUGUGACUGUAGAGCUGGAGUACGGUAGAGGGGGAUGGAAUUCCGCGUGUAGCAGUGAAAUGCGUAGAUAUGCGGAGGAACACCGAUGGCGAAGGCAAUCCCCUGGACCUGUACUGACGCUCAUGCACGAAAGCGUGGGGAGCAAACAGGAUUAGAUACCCUGGUAGUCCACGCCCUAAACGAUGUCAACUGGUUGUUGGGAAGGUUCCUUCUCAGUAACGUAGCUAACGCGUGAAGUUGACCGCCUGGGGAGUACGGCCGCAAGGUUG
rnacentral:rRNA from 1 species